GUCCCUGUAGCGCAGUGGAUAGCGCGUUGGACUUCUGAUCCAAAGGUUGUGGGUUAGAAUCCCACCUGGGAUG
rnacentral:tRNA from 1 species